UUCGCCCUUUUCCGGUUGAUCCUGCCGGACCUGACUGCUAUCGGAUUGAUACUAAGCCAUGCGAGUCAUUGUAGUAAUACAAGGCAGACGGCUCAGUAACGCGUAGUCAACCUAACCUAUGGACGGGAAUAACCUCGGGAAACUGAGAAUAAUGCCCGAUAGAACAUUAUGCCUGGAAUGGUUUAUGUUCCAAAUGAUUUAUCGCCGUAGGGUGGGACUGCGGCCUAUCAGUUUGUUGGUGAGGUAAUGGCCCACCAAGACUAUUACAGGUACGGGCUCUGAGAGGAGUAGCCCGGAGAUGGGUACUGAGACACGGACCCAGGCCCUAUGGGGCGCAGCAGGCGAGAAAACUUUGCAAUGUGCGAAAGCACGACAAGGUUAAUCCGAGUGGUUUCUGCUAAAGGAACCUUUUGUUAGUCCUAGAAACACUAACGAAUAAGGGGUGGGCAAGUUCUGGUGUCAGCCGCCGCGGUAAAACCAGCACCUCAAGUGGUCAGGAUGAUUAUUGGGCCUAAAGCAUCCGUAGCCGGCUCUGUAAGUUUUCGGUUAAAUCUGUACGCUCAACGUACAGGCUGCCGGGAAUACUGCAGAGCUAGGGAGUGGGAGAGGUAGACGGUACUCGAUAGGAAAGGGUAAAAUCCUUUGAUCUAUUGAUGACCACC
rnacentral:rRNA from 1 species